rnacentral:lncRNA from 1 species
CACUGACAAAUGUGAAGUCAAGGACGCUGGUGUCCAGACAGAGGUUUCGUGCCCUCCCAACUCGCUGCUGUUUUUCUGCACAAAAAAGGUGACCUUCGAUGAUGAGCCGCUCUGUCCUGAAGUCCCUGAGAGAGAUGAGCCAGUUUCCAGGCCGUCUACCCCAGCAGGUCAUGGUGGGAGCCAGGGGGCUACGUUGGACACAGAGUAUGGAUACCGCUCAACGUCUCUGACCUCCUGCACAAACAUCCUCUCCCAAUGAGAGCUGGACUGCCUCAGAUUGCCUAACCUGAAGCAUACAUGCUACAUGGGCCCUGCUCUGCAAACUGUCCUCACACUGAGAGUCUUUACUGAGGAGCUCUGCAGCCAGCUGCAGCUGUGGAGGUUUCACCCAGAGUGCCUGCACAUCAGUCAGUUUGUGGACAUCAAAUUGAGCCGCUUCAACAACGACAGCUGGCACAAAAGCUCUGUCCUGACUGCCUUUAGAGACACGGUUGCUGCGUCUCAUCCAGAGUUUGAUGAUGAUGAUCAGAAAGACGCCCACGAGUUCCUCGUCUGUGCUCUGGACGUGCUCCAGUGUGAGUUCUCUAAGCUGCAGGCUGAAGCAGCUGCCUUGGACAAACCUUCCAUCUGUCCAGUUAGAGCUCACAUUGGCUUCACGAUUUUGAGCAAAGAGCUGCAAAAAAUGUGGUGUGCAGUUCUUUGGGCGGGAGGACUAACUCCACCUCUCCUUGGACCUGGUACAUCGAGGCUCAGUGAGCCAGUGCCUGGACUCAUACCUGAAAGUAAGAGCUCGUUUAGACUCCAUUCUGUGAACGGGCUUGCUCCCACAAAUAUAUGAAUUCAUCUGUGAAAGAGUUCAACUCUAAUGAACCUUUUCCUCCUGCUCCCUGCUGCAGGGUGGCCUGUUGGACUAUGAGUGCCAGUGCGGAGCCAAGAAGAUGAAAGAGGAGCUGUCUUUCUUGAACCUGCCCA